rnacentral:rRNA from 1 species
AUACGGAGGAUGCGAGCGUUAUCCGGAUUUAUUGGGUUUAAAGGGUGCGUAGGCUGUGCGUUAAGUCAGGGGUGAAAUGCCGUCGCUCAACGACGGAGCUGCCCUUGAUACUGGCGUGCUGGAGUACGGAUGCCGUUGGAGGAAUGAGUGGUGUAGCGGUGAAAUGCUUAGAUAUCACUAAGAACACCGAUUGCGAAGGCAUCUGACGAAUCCGUGACUGACGCUGAGGACCGAAAGGGUGGGGAUAAAACAGGAUUAGAUACCCUGGCAUCCCAGGCCGUAAACGAUGAUGACUAACCGUCGGCGAUAGACAGCCGGUGGUCAAGCGAAAGCGAUAAGUCAUCCACCUGGGGAGUACGGCGGCAACGAUGAAACUCAAAUGAAUUGACGGGG